GACGAACGCUGGCGGCGUGCUUAACACAUGCAAGUCGAACGGAAAGGCCCUGCUUUUGUGGGGUGCUCGAGUGGCGAACGGGUGAGUAACACGUGAGUAACCUGCCCUUGACUUUGGGAUAACUUCAGGAAACUGGGGCUAAUACCGGAUAGGAGCUCCUGCUGCAUGGUGGGGGUUGGAAAGUUUCGGCGGUUGGGGAUGGACGCGCGGCUUAUCAGCUUGUUGGUGGGGUAGUGGCUUACCAAGGCUUUGACGGGUAGCCGGCCUGAGAGGGUGACCGGCGACAUUGGGACUGAGGUACGGCCCAGACUCGUACGGGAGGCAGCAGUGGGGAAUAUUGCACAAUGGGCGGAAGCCUGAUGCAGAAACGCCGCGUGCGGGAUGACGGCCUUCGGGUUGUAAACCGCUUUCGCCUGUGACGAAGCGUGAGUGACGGUAAUGGGUAAAGAAGCACCGGCUAACUACGUG
rnacentral:rRNA from 1 species